rnacentral:piRNA from 1 species
UUUGAAGUGUGAGACAGUCAUGGGAGCCU